rnacentral:rRNA from 1 species
CUACGGGUGGCUGCAGUGAGGAAUAUUGCACAAUGGGGGGAACCCUGAUGCAGCAACGCCGCGUGGAGGAUGACGCAUUUCGGUGUGUAAACUCCUUUUAUAUGUCAAGAAAAUGACGGUAGCAUAUGAAUAAGCACCGGCUAACUCCGUGCCAGCAGCCGCGGUAAUACGGAGGGUGCAAGCGUUACUCGGAAUCACUGGGCGUAAAGGACGCGUAGGCGGGUUGGAAAGUCAGGUGUGAAAUCCUACAGCUUAACUGUAGAACUGCACUUGAAACUUCUAAUCUAGAGAAUGGGAGGGGGAGAUGGAAUUAGUGGUGUAGGGGUAAAAUCCGUAGAUAUCACUAGGAAUACCUAAAGCGAAGGCGAUCUCCUGGAACAUUACUGACGCUAAGGCGUGAAGGCGUGGGGAGCAAACAGGAUUAGAUACCCCCGUAGUC